GACGAACGCUGGCGGCGUGCCUAACACAUGCAAGUCGAACGGAAAGGCCCUGCUUUGUUGCGCUGCUCGAGUGGCGAACGGGUGAGUAACACGUGAGUAACCUGCCCUUCACUUUGGGAUAACUUAAGGAAACUGAGGCUAAUACCGGAUAGGAGCUCCCGCUGCAUGGUGGGGGUGGGAUAGUUUCGGCGGUUGGGGAUGGACUCGCGGCUUAUUAGCUUGUUGGUUGGGUAGUGGCUUACCAAGGCUUUGACGGGUAGCCGGCCUGAGAGGGUGAACGGCCACAUUGGGACUGAGAUACGGCCCAGACUCCUACGGGAGGCAGCAGUGGGGAAUAUUGCACAAUGGGCGGAAGCCUGAUGCAGCAACGCCGCGUGCGGGAUGACGGCCUUCGGGUUGUAAACCGCUUUCGCCUGUGACGAAGCGUGAGUGACGGUAAUGGGUAAAGAAGCACCGGCUAACUACGUG
rnacentral:rRNA from 1 species